GAUCCCAUCACAGCCGUUCGUAUGAUCCAAGAGAAGCCGACAUUAGCUCUGUCUGACCGUUCCUGGAAGUUAAGAAAGAGAAAAAGAGUCAGACAGGGGUCGAGAGGUAGAGAGAGAGAGAGAGAGAGAGAGAGAGAGAGAGACCCAGCUUCUCUGCAGAGGGUUCUUUUUCCCACUGAUGUUUGGGAAGCAUAUCUGUUGUAAAUUUAACAAGUACAGAUCAAAUGCCAUCUCUAAAAAUGAAGACCAAAUCAAGCAUGUGCUGUUUAAGAGAAAAAAAUGGUCUUCAUGUAUGUCAAAGGUCAAGUAUAAUUUCCAAAAAAGUAUGCUCUCAUGUCAGGUUUUCUGAACAUACUGCAAAUCUUGACACUUGCGUUCAAAAUUAUCUUGAUGUUUCUUCGAGCAAACAAAUUUCUGCUAAGGACACUGAAAGUGAUGAAGCGAUUGACCAUCAGGAACUAUUGGAUGAAGCAAAUUCUGAGUCUCUAAAGCAGUCUUGUGAUUCUACAACCACAGGAAGGAUGGAAUCCAGCCAUACUUUUCCAUCAAACUUGGAAACUAUUUUUUCUCCUGCUUUGGAGCCCCUUGAAGUCCUUUUUGAACCAAGUGCAGACAAUAAUGCAGUUGGGAGCGAUAAUUACCCUGACAUGUCUUGGUUAGGAGCUGAUGACUGCGAUGAUAAUAGAAGCACACGUGACUGUCAAACUUGUGAUAUAUCUGAUUUCUACAUUUCUGACAUGAUUGUUGGAAACUUCCCCUUCAACGGGAAUGUAUUUGAUGAUACAAGUGAAAGCAAUUGCUUUGCCAGUUACAAAUCUGCCGAGCCAAAUAUGCUGUUUGAUAUGGCUGAGCAAUACAUGUUAUUGCCUUUCCUGGAGGAAACUUUCAGAAGCAGUAGUACCGAUGAUGACAAAUCAUGUGAAAAGGCCAUGAUGGAUCCGAAUAAUUCUGCCUUAUAUCCAGCAAUUGAACAGAUGAGAUCAUGCAACCAGGAUUCUGUUGUUAACUCUUCUGACUCGGAUCAGGCAGAGUGCUUUGAUCCUCAGUUGUUUAUAAAAAAUUUACCAGAAUUAUCAGAUGUGGUAUCCAAUUUUCAAACUAAUUCACUGCCUGAGGAAACUACAAAAGGAAAGCGUAUAACUCUAGUACUUGAUUUGGAUGAAACCCUUGUCCAUUCUACGCUUGAACAUUGUGAGAAUGCAGAUUUCUCCUUUACUGUGUUUUUCAACAUGAAAGAGAACACAGUAUAUGUAAAGAAAAGGCCUUAUCUUCGAACAUUCUUAGAGCGGGUUGCUGAGAUGUUUGAAGUUAUUAUUUUUACUGCCAGCCAAAGCAUCUAUGCAGAACAACUUCUUGAUAUGCUAGAUCCAGAAGGAAAGCUUAUAUCUCGGCGAGUUUACCGCGAAUCAUGCAUCUUCUCAGAUGGUAGUUACACUAAAGAUUUGACAGUUUUAGGUGUUGAUCUUGCAAAAGUUGUCAUAAUUGACAAUUCUCCUCAGGUUUUCCGCUUGCAAGUGAAUAAUGGGAUUCCCAUAAAGAGUUGGUUUGAUGAUCCAUCGGACUGCGCAUUAAUUUCAUUGCUUCCCUUCUUAGAGACUCUUCUAGAUGCUGAUGAUGUUCGUCCUAUCAUUGCCAAGAGAUUUGGUAACAAGGAAUAAGAGCCCCUUGUCAUUCUCAUUUGCUCGAAUAUAGCUACUUCUUGCCCUCUUGUCUAUUUUGAGCUGGAAUUUGGCCUCUUAUCUAGUCUGCAUUCUUAUCUUAUGAUCUUAUUAGGUUCAGUUUGGGAUCCACAACCUUGAAAUUUUGAUCAGGUACUUGUGACCUGAGGUAAUUCAUCGUAGUCUGUUUAUUUAAGUGGAUUAACUAUUUACCAUAUUGUAUUUGUUCAAGAGUCUUCCAUUUCGGAUUCUGGAUAUAAUUUGAUCUUCGUUUCUUCUUAAACAAAAUUUAUAGUCUGUUAUCUUAGAAUUUACAUUCAUAUCUUUCUUAAAAUGUCUCCUGUCCCAUCACUGCGAAAUUAUUUUCUCUGGCACUGUUCCAGAUCUCAUGUGACACAUAAUCAUUGGACAUGUCGCCAUUUCUUCCCAUCACCCUUAUUGUGUUUGUGCAGAUAGUUUUAAAGGCACUGUAAGUUAUAGCAAGAAAGGAAAGGUAGCUUGCUAAGAGCUGGAUCAUUAUGAGUAAAGCAAGAUAUGCUGCUAAAAUUGUGUCUGCUAUCCUAAUCCCUUAAUGAUUAUAUGAUUAUAUAACUAUUGCUAAGAUAUAUAUUGUGUACAUGAGUCUUAGAGCUAUAAAAGGCCUUUACCUAUUUAACAAUGUAUGUUAUGAUAGCAUAUGAAAGAAAAAUUGAUGAUUGCAUACUAUGGAUGAGUUAAGGUUGAGAAAAAAACCAGGUCAUACCCCAUAAGGUUAUAUGUUUGAGAUGUCUUAUUCUUCAAGAGAUUUAAAUUUCAAGUGCUGCUAAAGUGUUCUAAUUGACUCAGCCUAGUCUUUUACUAACUGAAUCUUUUUCUAUGAAGAUUCUCAUGAAGAUCAUAUGCCUGUGUCAUGGAAGCAUGCUAUGAUAAUGCACAAACUUAAAGAGUUUGAAUUAGACAUUAUGAGAUUAUAAAUAGCAAAUGAACUGGAAGAUGGUUAAAUGCAUAUGAGACUGUAUACAUUGAUAAAUCAACUUGUCGAAACAGGAGUACCCUCCUUAUUGGGUAGCUCCCAGGGUCUUUCUUGAGACUUUUGUGCAGAUCAAGACAAAAACUGUUAGAAUUUCUAUUUAAUAUCUCGAGAAUUCGGAGAUAGAGAUGCUGGACUACGGGUUUUAUAAACUAACUCUCCCUGCUUGUCAUUAUCUUCUGCUACAUUUAGCAAUCUUACUUUUAUAAUUGUACAUGCCUUAUCUGCAGGUCAUGUGGAGAACUGUAAUAGAUUUUCUGCUAAUGCCAAAAUAGUAGGUACGUGGAAUCUAUUGUUACUAUCAUUCGGAGAAGCCUAUAGGUAUAGGCAUUUGGUCUGGAUUUCCAUUUCCCAGUCAAACCUUUGUGUGAAACAACAUUGAGGGGGG